rnacentral:rRNA from 1 species
CUGCGGAAGGAUCAUUAAGAAAAUUACUUAUAUUCUUUAGGAUUGAAACUACCCAAAACCACAUUUUAUUUUAUUCAACCCAAGUUUUCUUUAAAACUUUCAACAACGGAUCUCUUGGUUCUCGUAUCGAUGAAGAACGUAGCGAAUUACGAUAAGUAUCAUGAGUUGCAGACGUGAAUCAUUAAUUUUUGAACGCACAUUGCACUUGAUCCAGCAUCAAGUAUGGGGGAGUGAGAGAGUAUUUCUUCGGCCACCUCCUUUUGGUUUGGGUGCCGGCUUAUACCUCAAAUAAAUUUACUUUUUUUCCUCACUGUCCCAAGACUACCCGCUGAACUUAAGCAUAUCAAUAAGCGGAGGAAAAGAAACCAACAGGGAUUACCUUAGUAACGGCGAGUGAAGCGGUAAAAGCUCAAAUUUGAAAUCUUCGGAAUUGUAAUUUGAUGGAUAAAAUUGCCACGGACAAAAGUUCACUGGAAAGUGACGCCGUAGAGGGUGAUAGCCCCGUUUACGUCCACCGGCACUAUAAUUUUAUUCCAAAGAGUCGGGUUGUUUGGGAAUGCAGCUCAAAGUGGGUGGUAAAUUCCAUCUAAAGCUAAAUAUUGACGAGAGACCGAUAGCGAACAAGUACAGUGAUGGAAAGAUGAAAAGAACUUUGAAAAGAGAGUGAAACAGUACGUGAAAUUGUUGAAAGGGAAGGGGAGGGAAGAUGUUAAAGGGACUCCUUCUUUAGUAGGGAUCCCCCCAAGAGUCUUUCCUCUCGCCCGUCUU